AAUCAACGCUGGCGGCGUGCCUCAGACAUGCAAGUCGAACGCGAAAUUUCCCUUCGGGGAGAAAGUAGAGUGGCGCACGGGUGAGUAACACGUAGGUAAUUUGCCUUUGGGUGGGGAAUAACUCAGGGAAACUUGAGCUAAUACCGCAUAAUGCAGCGGCUCGACAUCGAGACAGUUGUUAAAGCGGGGGAUCGCAAGACCUCGCGCCUGAAGAGAAGCCUGCGGCAGAUUAGCUAGUUGGUAAGGUAAUGGCUUACCAAGGCGACGAUCUGUAACCGGCCUGAGAGGGCGGUCGGUCACACUGACACUGACAUACGGGUCAGACUCCUACGGGAGGCAGCAGUCGGGAAUUUUGGGCAAUGGGCGAAAGCCUGACCCAGCAACGCCGCGUGAAGGAU
rnacentral:rRNA from 1 species